AUGAUGGAAACAGAGGUGGCACGACUCUAUGAUAUGGAUAUGAGUACAAUAGUGUUUGACAGUGGCACAUGCGACGGUGCUCGCGGGUGCCAUGCCUCUAGGCGGGUUGUCUGCACGAUGUUGCAGUGGUCAGUGGCGCUGCACCUACAUCAUGUAUGGAUCAAUAAAACUAGGCAUGAGUGCCAGCGGGUUGUAAAUACCAUAAUUCAGUUGCACAUAUGUCUUUGGUUGUAUCAACACAUCGCAUUUUACUUAGUGAUUUGUCGUGAGUGCUCUUGUGUGAGAUUAGCAUGUCUUUCAUAUCUGCCUUUAAUGUAUGCUUUUGUUUUACCAGUUGCCAGUCACAAGGCUUGA
rnacentral:rRNA from 1 species